rnacentral:snRNA from 1 species
UUUAAUGAUCUUCGCGUGAUUUAAUUCUAGUGGUUCGUAUCGCCUAAAAUCAUACCAAAAUAAAAAGAGUGUCUAGAAGGGUCAUAUAAUGUCUGCAAUUAAUCAUCUUUGUUUGAAACUUAUUUUGGCGAGUUUCGCGAUUAUUAACACCAUUACUGCUUUAACAAACGAUGGCACUGGUCACUUA